UGGCUAGAGAUUCUUUAAUAAACAUCGGAUCAACCGAAGAGGGGGUGGUGUGGCCCGUUUUCGUUCGCUGGCUAGCGAACGAAAGCCUUCCGCGCGGGAUCUUACAGUCGCUCUCGACGGCUGCUUUUCGGUCGCUCGCGAACGAAAAAUCGGCGUUUUGUUGUACAAACAUUUUAUUGGGCAGCGUAUCGUACACUGCCAGCACAACAGUCUGUCGUCUCAGCCAACGCAAUGGAUAUUUUCGGGUAGGCGGUGGCCGAACUGGUAGCGUACUGGGCCCACAUUCGCCGCGUAAUGGACGACGCGGGUUCGAAUCCCCACGCUACCACUCGGAUUUUUCAGUCACCGCCGAGUGGCUUAAAACUACCCACAUGCUGUCCUGAAGACCACCCAUCAAUCCGGACUCUAGAGGAAGCCGUCCAAGCGAAUCAAGAACGAGUUCCGGGGGGCAGCAUGAGCCAAUGCAAGAUGGCGCCACUAUAAACACUCGCCUGCGCCAGAACGGGCUGGGCCGACCAUCAGGCCCCACCUGGAAGAAGCCUUGGGCCGACCAUCAGGCCCCAUCAGGAAGAUGCCUACCGGCGCAACAGGCAACGACGUAAAAAAAAAAAAAAAAAAAAAAGAA